rnacentral:rRNA from 1 species
AGAGUUUGAUCCUGGCUCAGGACGAACGCUGGCGGCGUGCUUAACACAUGCAAGUCGAGCGAGCCUUCGGGCUAGCGGCGAACGGGUGAGUAACACGUGGGCAACCUGCCCCUAGCACUGGGAUAACCCCGGGAAACCGGGGCUAAUACCGGAUACGACCUCGAAGGGCAUCCUUCGAGGUGGAAAGGGUUUCUGGCUAG